ensembl:lncRNA
GAAAGGCUGAAGUCCUUACAACGGCUUAUAAGGCCCAUAUAAUCCAGACUCCUGUGACCCCUAUGACUUCAUCUAUUCUGUCUUCUCCAGCUACACGGACCCCCUUACUCUUCCUCCACUAAGCUAGACCCCAGCCUGCCUCCAGGCCUUUGCACCAGCUGUUGCCCAGGCCAGGAUUUCCUCCUGGCUCACCACUCUCCCCUCCUUCAAGUCUUUGUUUAAAUGCCACCUUCUCAAGGAGGUGUCCCUUCACUACCACCCUCCCCCCAGCACUCCUCAUUCUCCCUCCCUUGCUCUAUCUUUUUCCAUGCACUUCUCACCCUCUAAUAUAUCAUUUACUCAUUUGUUGUUAUUUUCAGUCUUUCCACUUACAGAAUGUAAGCUCCGGAACGGCACAGAGUUUUGCCCAUUUGUUCUCAGCUGUUCUCCCUUCUACAGCACCACCGGCUGUGUGCUCAGUAAGUCUUCAUUGGAUGAGCGAAUGAGCAGUAGGGAGACUAGUGGCCCCUGCUAAAGCUGGACCCUGCCUGAAUCCCUGCAACCCAUGAAUAUGUUACCUUACAUGACAAAAGGGAAUUUGUGGAUGUGAUUAAAGACCUUGAGAUGGGGAGAGUAACCUGCAUUAUCCAGGUGGACCAAUGUGCUCACAAGAGUCCUUAAAUGUGGAAGAAGGAGGGAAAAGAGGAGGUUAGAGUGAUGCAAUGUAAGAAGACUUCCCUGUUGUUGCUUGAAGAUGGAGGAGGGAAGGGAGCAGAGGCAUGCGGCAGCCUCCAGAAGCGGGAAAGGGCAAGGACGUGAAUUCUCCACGUAGAAUUCUUCCGCAGAGUCUCUGGAAGGGAACACAACCCUGCUGACAUCUUGAUCUUUGUCCAGUGAGCAACAUUUCAGCUUCUGACCUCAGACUGUAAGACUCUGUGGCACGCACAGCAUUUUAACAGAGGAGCAUAAACACAUCUACACCUGGCAUAACUUGAAACAUGAAGCCACUUGGUCAAAAGCAACCAUCGCAAGAACGGAAGAAUAUUGCACAGAGUGGGUGGUGAAGUGGCUGGAUGACACAAAGUAAUGCAGAUGUCAAGAGCACAUGAAAAGGGUCUCAGGAUAGGCCAUGAUUUGCAGAGUGGGAAUGUUCUGAGAAUCGUGCUCAGCUUCUAUGGAGCGCUCUCCACCUUCUCCAACAGAGUGCGCUUCCUUAGUACCGUGCCACCUACUCUUUAAGUCGAUGAUACCUACCCACUGGUAGUGUGCCUGAAAACUGGGCUCUAGUCCCAUGUGGCCACAAGUCCCAUGAGGCAGUGGAAAGACAGUUGGUCUGGAAAGAAGGCUCUGUCACUUACUGGCUCUGGGUCCCUGGACAAGUCUUAGUCUCCCUGUUCUGUGAAGCAGGAUGAGCAUCUCCACUCCACGCACUUGCAGGUGAUUGCAAAGAACAAGCAAGACCACGAUUUAAAGUGACUUAUAAGCUGUGAAACACUGCAGCUUGGGAGGUGUCAGCGGGAGAGUGUCUGACCCGUCUACUGAGAAUUUCUCUCUUUUGCGUUGUGCAGUGGUCAUCACCAGGCAAAGCAAAUUGGAGAGAGAGUUCCAGACCUCUAGGAGCUUCACAAAUGCAGACUUUCAAAUUAUUCACUAGAUUUUGAGCUUCUCACAUUUUGAGCCCAAGUCUUAGUCACCUUUACAGCAUCCCCCACCUUCACCCAAUGGCUUGCCUAAGGCAUCUCUUUUUGGUGAAUGGAGUAAAGUAGUGAAAGGGUGUCAAUUAAACACCCGAUGAGUUAGCUAGGGACCAGAAAACCUCAGGGUGUCAUUCACUUGUGGAAGGACUGCUAGUCUAAAAUAAAGAAACAUUUUUAAUUCUAGAGUACUGUUUUAAAGAAAUGCAAUUUUGACUUUCAAGAACAAAGAGUAACUCAAAUUGGACUAACAAAGUAUUUACAAGUAGCGUUUUGGCUUAUAAAUGAUGCCUUGCUUCAAUUUCAUAAAUUACUUUCACAUCUGUAAUUUCAUUUUCAUAAAUGUCCUGUGAGGUGGGCUAUGAUCCCCAUUUUAUAGGUGAGAAAUGGAGGCUCAGGGAGCAGAGGCAACUUGGGUUCAUCCACUUUGUGUUCUAUUUGGGAUUUUGGACUGCGAUGUCAGGACUAUUUGCAAGCUUUCAUUCUUUCUAAUAGAUUUCGUUCUUUGAGCAUACAUGUCCUCAUCUUCUUCAACUCCAUCUCCCUCCAUCAUGCUUGCUUGGCAAAAUCCCAGCCCUAGUUAAUUCAACCCUCCUCUCCUCCUGUGCUCCACCUAGACACCUGAGCCUAGCUGGAGAGAAACAUGGACCAUAAUAACCGCCUUACUUUAGGUUCCUGACUGGCCAAGCUCAAGUGGGCCCUCAAUGCUCCCCAGCAAUCUACAACACUACGCUUCCCUCAUCCAUCACCUUCCCUGUCUCCUAGUUGACAAUAUCACACGUGCUCUUAUCUUUCCACCUUCCAACAUCCUCACUGGCCUCUCUGGUGAUGAGCUUGCUUCACAUUUCACCUAGGAAACAAUGCAAACAGAAGAGAAGAGAAUAAACACUUGGGCUAGCACACCUUUCAAUCCACCUGCCUUUGUCCUGGGUAAUCUGCACCCUUCUCCCUUGGUUGUUCUAGGCCAUCACUCCUAGAGACAUCCUUUCUUUCUCCUGCAAUUUUCCCUCUCUUCUGGACUGCUUUUGCCAGUGAUCAAACAUGCCGUAAUAUCUCCCAUUAAAAAGGAAAAAAAAAACCCAAUUUGUGACAACAUGGAUGGACCUUGAGGGUAUUCUAAGUGAAAUAAGUCAGUCAGAGAAAGACAAAUAUUGUGUGGUUUUACUCAUGUGGAAUCUGGGAAAAACAAGACAAAAACAAACUCAUAGAUACAGAGAACAGAUUGGUGGUUACCAGAGGGGAAGGGGUUUGG